CUCAGAGAAUGUUGAAUAUAAGUUAGAGAUGCAUUUGAAUGAGAAGCGAAUGCAUGGAGCAAGAACUGAAAGCAGAAAGAAGCUGGGUCAAGAGGACAGGUGGAGGAAUUCAUCAAAAACUCGAAUAGAGACAGAUUACAGAUGAAGAUGACAACCCUGGAGAACUUGAUUGAUAUGGGAGGGAGAGAUGGCAGAGAGGAGUCUUGUCCAUUCAUGUAUCCAUACAUGUGUCUCUGAGAUUAAAGUAUUAUACUAGAAAAGAAGAAUUGAAUUAAAUAAGAAGAUAACAUGCAAGCACCAAGUGUUUCUACCAUAGCUUGGUACCCCAGAGAAAAAAAUAAUAAUCUGAGGUUAUAAGUUCAUUUUAUCUCUUGAUAUAGCAUCUGAGAACUUGAGUAAUGUGCCUGGAAAUGUACUAUCUGGUUUAGGAAACAUGUAGACAAUGGUCUGAGUAAUUCACUUGUAUAUUAGAAAAUAUAGAGAGGAGAAAUUAAUUGUUGAAGUGUUUAGAAGUAAGAUCUUGAACUUGUGCCUAUCAUUUCCUUUUUUUCUUCUUUAUUGCUCUACUCUUAUUUAAUCUUCACUGGUGUUUUUUUUUUUAAGUAAAGAAAGUUUAAUUUUUGCUAAAUAUUUCACUUAAAUUUUCAGACUUUUAAGUAGGGAAUUAUUUAUAUCCUGGGAAUUCUAAAGUCUCUUAGUCAUAGUAUACACAGUUAACACUUUCUUAUUCAUUCCCAAUAGAUAAUACAAAAUUCACUUUCAUUUGAUGCUGUAACUUAUGUUUCUUUUCCAGGAAAGUCAUCUAUUUUUUAUCUAUAUCAAGAUAUUAAUAAAAUGAGAAGACCAAACAUUAUUUAGCAUCCAGGAUAAAGCUAGUCUGUGGUUCCAUGCUUUUUAUAUAUUACAGAUGUGACUAAUUGAGAGGUAGAUUACUCUUGAGUAAAUAUACAUUAUGUUUCACUUUAACAAAAAUAGAUCUAUUUCUCUUUUCUUUGUUCCUUCUUCCCUUACUUUUUCUUUGAAAAAGAUUUCAUGAAGUCUCACCUAAUGUCUAAGCACUAGGAUAGAUCUCAUAGAUAAAGCUGUACCAAGAAAAACAGACACAUCCCUUGCUCUCAUGGACCUUAACAUCUAAAGAGAUGACCAGUUAUUGAAAAACUUCUUAUCGAAUUUCAAUUGUCAGGUCAUAGAGAAAAGUAUUAGAAAAAAGAUAUUAAUCUGUGAAUUAGGCUUCUGUGAGGAAAUUAUAUAGCUGGGGACUAAAGUAUAAGAAAGAUAAAGUCAGAUGUAAGGGAAGAGAUUUUAAGCUGAAGUUUGGUACAGUGGUCAGGAUCAAAGUGUGAACAAACAUGGACUGUUCAAUUCUUCCCCUGAACCCAAAUCUGGAGAUGCCACAAGGUUAAAAAGGAAUUCAAUGGACUCCAGAAACUAAAUCAAACACUGUAAAAAGCCCUUGGAGAAUCAGAAGGUACACAUCACCAGCAAGAAAUAUGAACACAGGAAAAAAAUAAACAGACAUCUGGGAGUGCAAGUGCAAGCUCUAUGAAAGAAAGACAACCUUCCCAUAAGAGAACAAUUAAUGCACCAAAUUAAAAGUCACCAAAUAUCUUUAUCAAGAAUAAAGAGAUAUCCUAUGGCCAUAUCAUCCUGACCACACCUGAUCUUGUCUGACUUUCUAUCUUGGAAAGAUAGAAAAAGAGGCUUCCACUCAUGUAGGUAAUGAGACUACAUGGGUUUCUGUACCACACUAGGAUAUAACUUUAAACUCUUGUGUUUUAAUUUGCAUAUCAACAGAAUCAGACUAUAUAUAUGAUCUCACAGUUUAGUUUUUUCAUUGAAUAACAUAUUUUGGCAAUCAUCUCAGGUUAGCAUCUAGAACUAACUUAUAGUAUCGAUGAAUGAGAAGUCUCAGUUUUACCAACCCAGCCCAGAUAGCAUCUAGAUCUUUUACAGGAACUAUUCAGAAUUCUAUUAGGUUCACAUCAUUCUCAAGGUAAAACCACAUCUAUGCUAUAAAGAUUUUUCGGAAUAAACAGUGAUAAUGCACAAAAGUACGUCUGGAAGAAACAGCAGCAAACUAUAUAUAGUACUUGAGGUUUCCUUUCACUGGAACUUAUGGAGUUUAGAAAUAUUACAGAUGCAUCCCAUCCUCUAGGGAGCUCUCGGUUUAUAUUUUAAAAACUGGAGUAAAUUAUGAUGAAA